rnacentral:rRNA from 1 species
UACAUAGGGGGCGAGCGUUAUCCGGAAUUAUUGGGCGUAAAGGGUGCGUAGGUGGCAAUGAAAGUCUUUGGUUAAACUUCUGGGCUCAACCCAGUUUUGCCAAAGAAACUUCAUAGCUAGAGUAUGGUAGAGGUGAGUGGAAUUCCAUGUGUAACGGUAAAAUGUGUAAAUAUAUGGAGGAACACCAGUGGCGAAGGCGGCUCACUAGACCGAGACUGACACUGAGGCACGAAAGCGUGGGGAGC